GCCAAUGAAAAAGCUACAGAUGAGCUUGCAGGUCCAGCACUGACCGCCGUUACUUGCAUUCUGUCAGUAAGCUCCUUUCCUGGCAUCAUCGUGCAGUGAGGAGGAGGGACAACGGCGGCCGGUCCCCCAAGUCUCAGCCUGCCAGUCAGACAGGCUCCGAGUCACGUGUCAGUGCCUCAGGCAGCAGCUGAGAGAAAAGCGCUUCAUUCCUUCUUCCACCGCCAUACUGUAUUUUAUACUAAAUCCUAUUUUUAUUCCAACCUUUUACUCCCGCUCGGAGCACACUGCUUCCUGAUGGCCCUACAGUGAUCUCCUUCUCUCUUUGUAACUGCAAUCUGUAUAUACUGCAGUCAAGCAUCUGCAGCAUUGACACAUGCUUCAUCUGUAAAGGAAUUUUACACUCCAUUCAUGUGCGUUCCUUCUGAACUCUAAAUAAAUGUAUUUUGAGGCCUUCAAGUUCAGCGUAAGAAGAAUUGGGUCUCUUUAGCUAUCAGGGUCCCAAGAUUUCUUUAUCUUCUUCCUGAACAAUUCCCUUAAACAACGUACUUUGGAUUUUAGUAGCUGGUAAAGAGUCUGCCAAUCACAUUAAACAAAACGGCAUAAAAGGGUGAACUACGAUGACUGGGAAAACACAAACAAGCAAUGUCACCAAUAAGAAUGAUCCAAGGUCCAUCAAUUCCAGAGUCUUUAUUGGAAAUCUGAACACAGCUAUUGUCAAGAAAGCAGACAUUGAAGCAAUAUUUGCCAAAUAUGGCAAGAUAGUUGGAUGCUCGGUACACAAAGGCUAUGCUUUCGUACAAUACAUGAGUGAAAGAAAUGCAAGAGCUGCUGUGGCUGGAGCAAAUUCAAGAGUAAUUGCAGGGCAACCACUAGGUAAGUUGAAAUUUGGCUGUCAAGUAUCAAA